AGUGAACGCUGGCGGUAGGCCUAACACAUGCAAGUCGAACGGCAGCACAGGAGAGCUUGCUCUCUGGGUGGCGAGUGGCGGACGGGUGAGGAAUACAUCGGAAUCUACUCUGUCGUGGGGGAUAACGUAGGGAAACUUACGCUAAUACCGCAUACGACCUACGGGUGAAAGCAGGGGACCUUCGGGCCUUGCGCGAUUGAAUGAGCCGAUGUCGGAUGAGCUAGUUGGCGGGGUAAAGGCCCACCAAGGCGACGAUCCGUAGCUGGUCUGAGGGGAUGAUCGGCCACACUGGAACUGAGACACGGUCCAGGCUCCUACGGGAGGCAGCAGUAGGGAAUAUUGGACAAUGGGCGCAAGCCUGAUCCAGCCAUACCGCGUGGGUGAAUAAGGCCUUCGGGAUGUAAAGCCCUUUUGUUGGGAAAGAAAUCCAGCUGGCUAAUACCCAGGUGGGAUGACGGUACCCAAAGAAUAAGCACCGGCUAAUCUCGUGCCAGCCGCCGCCGUAA
rnacentral:rRNA from 1 species